GAUUAAGUUAUUAAGGGCGCACGGUGGAUGCCUUGGCACUAGAAGCCGAUGAAGGACGUUACUAACGACGAUAUGCUUUGGGGAGCUGUAAGUAAGCUUUGAUCCAGAGAUUUCCGAAUGGGGAAACCCAGCAUGAGUUAUGUCAUGUUAUCGAUAUGUGAAUACAUAGCAUAUCAGAAGGCACACCCGGAGAACUGAAACAUCUUAGUACCCGGAGGAAGAGAAAGAAAAUUCGAUUCCCUUAGUAGCGGCGAGCGAAACGGGAAGAGCCCAAACCAACAAGCUUGCUUGUUGGGGUUGUAGGACACUCUAUACGGAGUUACAAAGGACGACAUUAGACGAAUCAUCUGGAAAGAUGAAUCAAAGAAGGUAAUAAUCCUGUAGUCGAAAAUGUUGUCUCUCUUGAGUGGAUCCUGAGUACGACGGAGCACGUGAAAUUCCGUCGGAAUCUGGGAGGACCAUCUCCUAAGGCUAAAUACUCUCUAGUGACCGAUAGUGAACCAGUACCGUGAGGGAAAGGUGAAAAG
rnacentral:rRNA from 1 species